AAAAAUAGGAUGGUAAAGUAGCUAGCCCAAUAGCUAACCCAUUGGAGCUCAAAAUUAGACUUACAUUGGUUAAAAUACCUAACAAGCCUUGUUUAACUAUCCCCUUGGAGAUGCUCUAACAGGUACUAACCCAAGUCCUACAUCAUUGACUUCUAACCAUAUGCCAAAGUCCACUAAACCAAUGACCACAUUUUCAGCAAAGAUGGACUUUGAACUUAUGCCAAAAUUUAUUUUGAGACUCAAAAAUUCUGGUGAUCGAGUCGUAUGAGGGCACAUAAUUGCUUCGUCUUUCAUCACAUAUAGGACUCCAGUAGUGCGAGUAAUAUAAUCAAUUUCUUCCUCCGUCAACCGUGCAGUGAAACCUCUCAAUACCUUGUAGGUAUAAAAUAUUCUCUUAUUCAACCUUUUUGCUUCGUUAGAAAGUUAGAGAGAUUGUUGAAUUUUUGUUGACAAAAAUUGAAUAACUGGACAUGUUAGUUCCAGUAGCAUAAUUUAAGAACAAUACGAAAAUAAUAGGAAGGAUGACACGCACGAAGCAAUUGCAUGCAAGAGUAAGCAGUUAGUUUUCGUUUCGCUUUGCAAAAGGAAAAAAAUGAAACAUGCUAGACUAUUAUAUAGCAGGAGAAAAUAAUUGGUACACCACAUCAACUUGAUGAGUUGGAGGAACAAAUGUAUUAAAUAAUUAAAUUCUUGUCUCUUGCAUCAGCAAUAACCUUUGCUCUCUUAUCUCCAUCAGUUUUUUUUUUUUUUUUUUUUCAUAUAUUGUUUUUCUCUAAUUUCAAAUAUGAGAUUUUCAUAGAAAACCCACUCACCUACUACGUUCUUUCCCUCUCUUAAAUUUUUAAUUUUCAAUCUUCUGCUAAUUGAAGGGUUUUGUUAAUUUGGUUUCAACGUCUCAUAUAGGGAGGAAAAAAAAAGAUUAUAAAAAAGUUUUUCUGAAUUCAUGGUGUUGCCAGAGAAGGAGGAGAAGAAAAAAAAGUAAUUCGUUAGCAUCCAUGGUGUCUCUGGAGAGGAACGGGACUAAAAAAUUCGCCAACAAUUUAUUGCGUGCAAUUAUAGUUGUAAAUAAUUUUUUUUAAAAAACUUUUUUCCCAAUGGCAAAAGCAUAUACGACUCAAAUAAAAUUUUGUUUUAGUGAGAUUAAUUUUAAGUGAUAACAAUUUACCAACGCAAAAGGCACUAGCGAUGGCAAUAAAAAUGUUGCUAAAUUUUUUUAAAAUAGCUUUUACUAUUAUUUCGGUGGCAACUUGCUGUCUGGAAAAAAAAUUACCGACAAUCCAUUGUGUGUUGGAGAAGGAGAUUAAAAUAAUAGUUUGCCGGAAUUCGUAAGUCUUGCUGGAGAAUAAGAAAGAAAAGAGAUUAAAAAAAAAAAAGUAAUUGGAAUCCAUGGUGUUGCAAAAGAAAGAGAAAGCAAAAACUAGGGCUAUUCACCAUUUUUGCUGCGAUCUCAACGUCACCUUCACUCAAACCAUUUCGUCGUUUCUACCACCAAAAGCGUGAGAUGAGAGAGAGGAGAGGGAAAGGAUCUUUGAUUGAAGUGAUGAGACAGUGGAUAACUAUAAAUGAGAGAGAAGACAAAGAGGCUCUCUGAUUUUGAAAAAUAAAGUGAAAAGAGAAGAGCUAAAGAGAGAAAAUAAGUUAUCCACGAGACUCUUUGGAAGAUGUGAUGGGGCUCUUUGAAUGAUGUGAUAUGAUAAAGAGAAGCACUGUGAUCAAGGGUUUCUUAUCAAUAGGACUGUAAACUGUCCGAGUCAAGUUGAAUUUGAGCCCCGCUCAAUAAGUUGGGUUUGAAUUUCGCUUAGUUCAUUAAUAUUAAUGAAACUUGCAUUCAACUCAACUCGAUUCGAUAAGAUUUUUUCAAAUAUUAUUUAAAUAAAAUAUUAUUUAUAUAUAAAUAAUAAUAUAUUUAUUAUAUAAUUUAAAUAAAGAUAAACGAGUUGAGUUUAUUCGAGUUCAGUUCUUUUUCUAAACGAGCUGAGCUGAGCCCUUAAUGAGCCGAACCGAGUAUUCAUUUACAGCCCUAUUGAUGCAAUUUGAAUAUGACCCGACGAGGACCAGGCCCCUUGAUCCCGAUUAGAGCGAUUUUUUCCCAAAAAAUAUCCCCGACGGGUUGGGGAUGGUAUUUGAAAAUCAAUCCUCGACAUUUUUCGGGCUGGGGACGGUGAUACGUUCCCCUUCCCUGUCCCUGUUUCCCCCCUGAAGUAAAAUUACUAUCAUCCCCCCUCUCUCUCUAUAUGUGUGUGUGUCUAUCUUUUUGACUCAUUUUAGGGUUAGGUUCACACUCAAAUAGACACAUCACCUCUCUCUGCUAUGCUCACACGGCUGCUGCUCCCUCACCGCUCGCUCGCUUGCUCCUCCCUCACUGUCGUCGCUCCUCUCUCACCGCUGUCUCCCUUCUCCCUCACCGGUGUCUUCCUUCUCCCUCACCAGCUCUCCCUCUCUCAAAUCGCUAUACGAAGAUGAACCAAAGUUCAUUCUGAUUUUCACCCCCCAAUCGACUCUCUUUGGUAUGAUUUGCCUCUCUCCUCUAUCAACUCUUCGAUUUGCCUCUCCUUCUCACCAUUUUCAGCUCACUGAUUUCUGCUAUUCCCUAAAUCUUUCAUUUCUGUUUGGUGAAACCCUAGCUCUUGAUUUUAUUUAUUUUUUAAAUGGAAUGGAUUUUAUAUGGUUUGAUCGAUUUUGACUCUUAUCUGAAUGUUUGAAUUCUGCUUUGCUUUAAGGUUAUGAGCUUAAUCACAAUCUUAUACUUAUAUAUGUUUUUGGAACAAAUUAUUCCUCGGGUCAUUUUGGCAGUUAUAUACAUGUUCUCUGCCUCUAUCUGUGUGAUUUAUUAUAUAUAUAUAUAUAUAUGUGCAUAUGUAGAGGUAUAGAGAUACAUGUGGCAACUGUGUGAGUAACUACUUAUAAUUUUUGUUUUAACUUUGGACGUGGUUGGUGAUUAGAAAGGAUGUAGUUGUGUUGUUCAAUGAAUGGCAAAUCUGUGAAGUGUAUGUACUGUAUUUGGUGGGAGAACACCUUACUACAAAAGGCUUUGGUUAUUCAUUAGAGUGCACCAGGCCACCCAAACACUGCUAUGUAAUUGUUAAAUGAUCUAAUUUAUUUGUUCAACUAACAGUCACCCGUGGGCAGUCCCAAAUGCCAUUACUACUGUGACACUGGCUUCUCAUUUUGGUUUCCAACUUUUUAACCAAUAGUAUGAUAAUUAUGGUCUUGUUUUUGAGGAAGUCUUUGAGGACAUCUUGUUUACCUCUUCACUACUUAUUGUAUACAUCAUGCAAAGAAGAUGCCUUGUUUUUGGCCUUAGUCCAAAAGUGAGUGAUUAGUUCUAUUUUUUGUCUUAUCUAUAUUCUUUUCUUUCUGCAAAAUCUAGUGAUGGAUGAUUGACAUGGCACAAAUCCUCUACUCUUUCUGAGCAUCUGUUUUGUAGAUUUAUUUUAUACCAAAUAUUAAUGGUUGAAUUUUCUAUCUUGAUUGCAUGACAAGUUUGCUUUUUAAGGCAGUAAAGGAGAUCCAAUAAUGAAAGUCAAUAUAAGUUGAUUAUUUUUUAAUUUUUAAUUUUUUAUUUUUUAAUUUAGUUGGAUCUACCGCCACUUGUACUAAUUCUUUAGAUCUUUGAAGUCUAUAGCCAUCAUUAUUGUUUCAAAGUUGUUGACAUAGUGGUAUUUUGGAGUGGUUAGAUCACUUUUGAUCCUGAUAAAAAAAAAGAUCACUUUUUGAUGUUCUGUAGUACCUGCUCAAACCCCUUAAUUAAAACUGAUGAAUCUUUCCUUUUGUGAUACAAUGUGUGUCUAAUAUUAUGACCUUGUUUCUAAAGUUGAAUGUCUUUGGUAAGCAAGUUGUUUUGCUGCCCAUUUAUAUAUUAAUUGUUAAAAAUAGGUGUUGAAUUUGGUGAUAUCAUUACCCAAACUAAAUAUUUGGAUGUGGUUCUGUGGUUAUUUGAGCAUGCUAGUGAUGUUUUUGGAACAAAUUAUUUCUCGGUUCAUUUUUGCUGUUAUAUACAUGUUCUCUGCCUCUAUCUGUGUGAUUUAUUUUAUAUAUAUAUGUGUGUGUGUGUGUGCGUGUGUGUGCAUAUGUGGAGGUAUAGAGAUAUAUGUGGCAGCUGUGUGAGUAACUACUUAUAAAUUUUUGAUAACUACUUAUAAAUUUUUGUUUUAACUUUGGACAUGGUUGGUGAUUAGAAAGGAUGUAGUUUUGUUGUUCAAUGAAUGGCAAAUCUGUGAAGUGUAUGUACUGUAUUUGAGGAGGAUGUGUAUGUACUGUUUUCUUUAUCAGUAUUCAAUAGCCAACAAAAGUAUUUAUGCCUCAUUCCCUUAAUUUGUGCAAUUUUGCUGCCUCAGUUUAUUCAUUUGAUGUUAUUUUUAUAAAGGUCAAAAUUGUCAGAUGUUGACUCUCAAGUACCGGUUAACUCUCAAGUACCAUUUGAGAGCGAGGCCUCACAAUAAUCAUCGCCACCUACCAACUCACUGUGUGGCACUUAUGUGAAUUCAAGUUGAAGGAGACGAUGAAAGUUGUGGUUAUAACAGAUUUUUGGGAAAACAAUGUUGUUUUAUUGUUAUAAAAGUAUGUUUUUGUGGAUGUUGCAAAUGGUUAUGCUACAGUUUGCUGUUAUGUUAUUGUGGAUAUGAAGGAUGGAUCUUAGGAAAUUAUGCUUAGGGAAUUAUUUUGUAAGUUUAUGGGAAUAGGUUGUUUUUAUGGAAAAGACUUAAUUUUAGUGAAUGGUAUUAUAUGAAUUUGUUUCCUUCAUGCCAAA